rnacentral:rRNA from 1 species
UACGGAGGGGGCAAGCGUUGUUCGGAAUUACUGGGCGUAAAGGGCGCGUAGGCGGCUGCUCAAGUCAGGCGUGAAAGGCCUGGGCUCAACCCGGGAAUUGCGCUUGGGACUGGGCUGGCUUGAGUGCGGGAGAGGAUGGUGGAAUUCCCAGUGUAGAGGUGAAAUUCGUAGAUAUUGGGAAGAACACCGGUGGCGAAGGCGGCCAUCUGGACCGCAACUGACGCUGAGGCGCGAAAGCGUGGGGAGCAAACAGG